rnacentral:rRNA from 1 species
CCUAGUUGAUCCUGCCAGUAGCAUAUGCUUGUCUCAAAGAUUAAGCCAUGCACGUGUAAGUACACAUGGCCGGUACAGUAAACUGCAAAUGGCUCAUUAAAUCAGUUAUGGUUCCUUUCUGGCCCAUUGCUGGUUACUUGGAUGACUGUGGUAAUUCUACAGCUAAUACAUGCCGGCAAGCGCGCUCCUCCCGGGAUGUGUGCAUUUAUCAGACCAAGACCAAUCCGGGGCCGAUCGCCUGUCCCCGUGACGUGAUGAUGCAUUCGGAUGUCUGCCCUAUCAACUUUCAAUGGUACCUACCAUUGUGACCACGGUUAUUGGGGAAUCGGGGUUCGAUUCCGGAGGGGGAGCCUGAGAAACGUCUACCACAUCCAAGGAAGGCAGCAGGCGUGCAAAUUACCCACUCCCGACUCCGGGAGGUAGUGACGGAAAAUAACAAUACAGGACUCUUUCGAGGCACUGUAAUUGGAAUGUGUACACUUUAAACCCUUUAACGAGUACCCAUUGGAGGGCAUAUCUGGUGCCAGCAGCCGCGGUAAUUCCAGCUUCAAUAGCGUAUAUUAAAGUUUCUGCAGUUAAAAAGUUUGUAGUUGGUUCUUGGGAUCGAGCUAGCUGUCCGCCGCAAGGCGAGCUACCGCCUGUCCCAGGCCCUGCCUCUCGGCACCCCCUUGAUGCCCUUGACUGAGUGUCCCGGGUGUCCGAAGCGUUAACUUUACUUUUUAAAUUAGUGUUCAAAGCAGGCCGGUCGCCUGAAUACUUCAGCUAGGAAUAAUGGAAUAUAACUCUGGUUCUAUUUUGUUGGUUUUCGGAACUUGGGCCAUGAUUAAGAGGGACGGCCGGGGCAUUCUUAUUGUGCCGCUACAGGUGAAAUUCUUGACCAGCGCAAGACGAUCCAAAGCGAAAGCAUUACCCAAGAAUGGUAAUGGUUUCCUUAAUCAAGAAUGAAAGUCUGAGGUUCGAAGACAAUCAGAUACCGUCGUAGUUCCGACCAUAAACGAUGCCGACUAGCGAUCCGGCGGCGUUAUUCCCAUGACCCGCCGAGCAGCUCCAGGGAAACCAAAGUGUUUGGGUUCUGGGGGGGGGAGUAUGGUUGUAAAUCUGAAACUUAAAGGAAUUGACGGAAGGACACCACCAGGAGUGGAGCCUGCGCUUUCAUUUGAUUCCACACUGGAAACCUCACAGACACAGAAAGGAUUGACAGAUUGAUAGCUCUUUCUCGAUUCUGUGGGUGGUGGUGGUGUAUGGCCGUUCUUAGUUGGUGGAGCGAUUUGUCUAGUUAAUUCUGAUAACGAAGGAGACUCCUCCAUGCUAACUCGUUACGCAACCCCCCAGCGGUCGUUGUUAAACUUCUUAGAGGGACAAGUGGCGUUCAGCCACACGAGAUCGAACAAUAACAGGUCUUAGAGGUCCGGGGCUGCACGUGCGCUACACUGAACGGAUCAGCGUGUGUCUACCCUUCGCCGACAGGUGUGGCUAACCCACAGAACGUUGUUCGUGCUAGGGAUUGCAAUUAUUUCCCAUGAACGAGUAAUUCCCAGUAAGUGCGGGUCAUAAGCUUGCAUUGAUUAAGUCCCUGCCCUUUGUACACAGCACCCGUCACUACUACCGAUUAGAUGGUUUAGUGAGGUCCUCGGAUCGGCCCAGCCGGGGUCGGCAAUGGCCCUGGCAGAGCGGCGAGAAGACUCCCAAGUGGGGAAGCUAGACGGGGCGCUGGGCUGUCUCGCCGCGGCAGGCGGGACAGGCCGCAC